AGAGUUUGAUCCUGGCUCAGAGCGAACGCUAGCGGCGGGCCUAACACAUGCAAGUCGAGCGCAUACCUUCGGGUAUGAGCGGCGGACGGGUGAGUAACGCGUAGGUCAUCUACCCUUUGGUGGGGGAUAACCCAGGGAAACUUGGGCUAAUACCGCACGAGGUCCACGGAUCAAAGCCUUCGGGCGCCAGAGGAUGAGCCUGCGUCGCAUUACCUAGUUGGCGGGGUAACGGCCCACCAAGGGGACGAUGCGUAGCUGGUCUGAGAGGAUGAUCAGCCACACUGGGACUGAGACACGGCCCAGACUCCUACGGGAGGCAGCAGUGGGGAAUAUUGCGCAAUGGGGGAAACCCUGACGCAGCCACGCCGCGUGGGUGAUGAAGGCCUUCGGGUUGUAAAGCCCUGUCGGGAGGGACGAAUUCUUGACGGUACCUCCAAAGAAAGCACCGGCUAACUCCGUG
rnacentral:rRNA from 1 species